UACGAAGGUCCCAAGCGUUAUCCGGAUUUAUUGGGUUUAAAGGGUGCGUAGGUGGGUUGGUAAGUCAGUGGUGAAAUCUCCAGGCUUAACUUGGAAACUGCCAUUGAUACUAUCAAUCUUGAAUACCGUGGAGGUCAGCGGAAUAUGUCAUGUAGCGGUGAAAUGCUUAGAUAUGACAUAGAACACCAAUUGCGAAGGCAGCUGGCUACACGAAUAUUGACACUGAUGCACGAAAGCGUGGGGAUCAAACAGG
rnacentral:rRNA from 1 species